rnacentral:lncRNA from 1 species
CCAAGAGUUAUCCCCCAGUUUCAAAUAAUUGAGUCACUGCAGAAGAAACAGUAGUUGGGGAAAAAAAAACACUCAAAGGGUCCCAAAGUAGAGGACUGGGACCCUGAACUUGGGUUUAUCAGGUGCCCACUUUGUACGCAUCACAGCCCUGAGAGACUUUCAUUCAUCCACAGCUGCCGCUGCUGCGCAUGCCCAGCUCAGGGAACGAUCUGACCUCAAAGGUCAAGUCAGACAACUAGAGAGCACCUGCUGAAUCUUCCUUCCAUCAUGGCUUCCAGGAGAAGAGCAAGCCCUUGACUUGAACAAGAUGUUGACCGGAACCGCCUUGAGGCAAGCUCAUGAGGUGUGUCACUCUUUGGGAAGAUGGAGAUUUGGGGGCUCGUUUCCUGGGGUACAUAGCUUAAAACAGGAUGUGUCCGGAUCGCAGCCACUGCGCCUGAGUCCCAAGCCUACACUGCAUGCAUGUAUACUGUCAGCAAUACUCUGAGAGCAGAUGCUCU